UUUGUGCAGAGGUGACAGAAAUGAGGCUGGUAGCUCCUUCAGGGUGCUGUAAAGUGAGGUUGGAACUCAGAGCUAGAGAAGAAGAGCCUGGAGCUUGGUGUGACAGUUGGAGCUCCAGUAACUGUCUUGGGUGAUGAGUUACCCUGGGAUGGAAGUUGGCGCUGAGGAUGGCGUGUGCAGAUUGCAGUGUGGUUCUCUCUCCCACUCCGCCCUGGAUCUGCUGACAUGCCUCAUUUUCUCCUCGUCCUGCCAGCAGCUGUAUGUCCUUCCUCACGUCUAGCCACCGUGCCUUUCAGGAUGCCAGCUCUCUGUGCUACGGCUGUGCCUCUUCCCUGAAUUACUCAGGUCUAUGCUAAGUUUUGGGCUCUCGCAACUUCCCUGGAUUCUCCCCAGAAUGAGAGUACAAGCCCCGGUUUUCGGAUUCCCCAAUCAACAUGAGGGUUUUGCCACUCCGCAACGGGCUCAGUUCUGUAGCAGUGUCUGGAAUGACCAGCAUCUAAGCCUUCUUUCCUUCCUUUCUGGUCCUUACACUUCCUCCCCAACUUGUAGAAACUUUAUAGGUGGCAAAAGGUACAAGGAACAAGAUAACGUCUCUCUUUUGUUAUAUAUGACUCUAAAUUUCAAAACAUCUAUGACUUUUGAAACACAAAACUGUCAGAAUUAUUUCCCUUCUUCUCCCCAUCCUGUGAUAACAUCCUUUUUCUGAGAUAAUAAAAGCCGUUGGCCCAGGUUCCCAGAGUGGGGAAAGGGUUGGCAGCCAUAGGAAGUACUACCGGGCCAAAGCAUCAGUGUGUAUCUUGCAAUACCUUACCACAUUGAGAAAAGGGGGAGGAGACACUAGGAGAAGAGCUGAACAGCAUCAGAGCCAGAGAUGGAUCAGGUCAGUAUUGGCAAUGUAGUUAAGAGCAGUGUGAUGCUGCUGCUGAAAUAUCAGAGUCCUGUAUGUCUCCCCUGUCUCUCCUCAAAGUCCCAUGGGGGGGACCUCAUCACUCAUCAUGAGAGGAAGCUGCUCUCAAGCCCACCUUGCAGCAUGGAGGAAAGAAAGGAGCCCACAUCUGAGGAUGCCCAGCAUGGCCUGGGCCCUUGAACAACAGGGUCACAGCCAAGGAUUCUCACCCCUCCAAUGUGGCAGAGGGGCCCCACUCUGGGGAAGGUGGCCUGCUCAGGGUCACAGUGGGUGGAGCAGCUUUCAAGGCACCCAGCAUUUAAUAAUUGAUCCUGUCAAAAAUCAUCGAUGGGUGCUAAAACAAGUGGGCCUAAGUUUGCUGAGGAACAGGCAUUCAUAGCAUCUCCACAUAUGAUAUUCAAAGUCUCAAAGUCUCUUUCAAAGCCACCAAAUUUAACGUCACCAGUUAUGGGACAAAUUGACAUUGUGUGCCUUCUGAUAGGAUGCACUGAGAAAAACACAUCGCUUUUGUGACAUUUCUGGCCAAAAUGUCUAACCUGAAUCUAAUCACAAGGAAACAUCAGACAAACCCAAACUGAGGGACAGUCUACAACAGUAACUGGUCUGUAUUCCCGAAAAACAUCAAGGUCACGAAAAUCAAAGGGAAGGCUAAGGAGCCAUUUCCAGUGGAAAAAGACUGAAUAGAAGGGACACCCAAAAGCAACGUGGAUUUGAUCCUAGACCAGAGAGGAAAGGGUGUUUAUGACGGCCAUCUUUGAGGCAGGCAGCUGCAUCUGAAAGGGCCCCUCGAUUGGAUGGUUGCAUUUCUCUCCAUGUUAAUUUCCUGAUUUGGGUGAUUGUAUUAUCUUUAUGUAAGGACGCUUGUUCUUAGGAAAUAAAUGCUGAAAUAUUUAGGGAUGAAGGAG
rnacentral:lncRNA from 1 species